AUGCUCAAGAAGAACUUGCAUUGAACAUGAAAGGGAAACAGCUAUUUGGGAGAUGAACAUUUCAGAUUUUUCUCAGAGUUCAUUUUGUUAACCAUAGAAAAAUCUGUUUCUGGGUUAAUCAAAGAGACAGCAACAAGGAAGGAAGCCAGGAUAUAACACAAGCCGAAAGGAUCCCUGACCUCCAGCUGAAAAGAGCUGAAAAUAUUUCAUCUUUCUGUGAGAGGUGGUUGCAAGAUUUAACCACACACAGUAAUGAGCUAUUCAAAGUUUAGACAGAUAAAUUACAUUAUUUGAAAUUUUUUCCUACAAAGAUGAGUUUGACUAUGAAGGAAAUGUUUGAAGAAGAAGAAGCAGAGUUAACAGACAAAGGAUGCUAGAGUAGAGGCUGCCAGCAGAAAGUGUGAAUCAGAUUUAAGAUGGAUCUUCCCACCUCUAGUGAAAGACAGAUCUGGAUUAAUACUGUAUUUACACACCACGAAUAUCUGGAUUUGAAAGAAAAAAACAUACAAUCUUGGGGUUCACUCUGUGUUCAAAUAUCCUACAACAAAAUAAAAAACCAAAACCAGCAAAUGCAUAAGAAAAGAAGCAAUGCGGCACAAGUCCCUUCCGGUCCACUGCAGCUCCAGGUUUCCUGGCCCGGGGAGUCUCCGGACACCUGAAAGGAACCACACAGGAUCCCCUACAGGACCCCAAGACCUCUGGUGAGUGAAACACAACUUCGCCAGGAGGCAAGUUUGAACACCAGAUAUUUGGGCACCUUCCCUGCAAGAGGAUGCUCCAACAUGUAAUAAGGACACAUGCUCCACUUUGUUCAUAGCAUCCUUAUUUAUAAUAGCCAGAAGCUGGAAAAAAAAAAACAGAUGUCUCUCAAUUGAGGAAUGCCUACAGGAAAUGUGGAACAUUUAGGUAAUGGAGUAAUAUGCAGCUAUUAAAAACAAAGAAUUCAUGAAAUUCUUAGGUAAAUGGAUGGAUCUUCAGGAUAUCAUACUGAGUGAGUUAACCAAUCACACACACACACAAAAACACAUAUGAUAUGCACUCACUGACAAGUGCAUAUUAGCUCAGAAACUCAAAUACCCAAGAUACAAUUGACAAACCACAUGAAACUCAAGAAGAAAGAAGAACAAAGUGUGGAUACUUCUAUCCAUCCUGGAAGGGAUAACAAAGUAUCAAUGGAAGGAAUUACAGAAACAUAGUGUGGAGCAGAGACUGAAGGAAUGACCAUCCAGAGACUGCCCCACCUGGGGAUCCAUCCAAUAUACAAUCACCAAUCCCAGACUCUAUUGCGGAUGCCAACAAGUGCUCUCUGACAGGAGCUAGAUAUAGUUGUCUCCUGAGAGGCUCUGCCAGUGCCUGACAAAUACAGAAGUAGAUACUCACAGCCAUCAAUUGGACUGAGCAUAGGGUCCCCAAUGAAUGAGCUAGUGAGAGUACCCAAGGAGCUAAAAGUGUUUGCAUCCCCGUAAGAGGAACAACAUUUUUAACUAACCAGAGUGAUUAUGGUGAGUUGAUAAAGCAUAUUUGAAAGAUGUGGGCACUUGGGCAACAGUAUGAAAAAUAGACAAAAAUCAGAGAGGCUAUGAGGGUGCCUAGGAGUACACACAACCAUUGUCUUUCAUUCACAGAUACCCCAUCUGUGGAGAGGAUGAUGAGGUGUCUAACUUAGAAAAAAGGCCAGACACUGGAAAGAAGUUCCAAAACAUAAUUAUUGCAUGCAGAGUUAUGGAUCCAUUUGAUACAAUCAUAUAAAUAGAACAUUCUGUUGAAAUAGUUAAGUACCUCCAGGAGGAACUAAAAUGAUAAUAUGCUCAAAUUGGAAUUAUCGUUAUUUGUAUUUUCUUGUUGAUUCAUGAUUAAAUUAAAAGAAUUUC
ensembl:lincRNA